rnacentral:rRNA from 1 species
AACGAACGCUGGCGGCGCGCCUAAUACAUGCAAGUCGAACGAGAAGGUGUAGCAAUACACUUGUACAGUGGCGAACGGGUGAGGAAUGCAUGGGCAACCUACCCUCGAGUGGGGAAUAACCAGCCGAAAGGUUGGCUAAUACCGCGUACGCUUCCGGGUCUCCGGAUCCGGAAGGAAAGUCACACCGUGGGUGUGACGCUCAAGGAUGGGCUCAUGUCCUAUCAGCUUGNGGUGAGGUAACGGCUCACCAAGGCAACGACGGGUAGCUGGUCUGAGAGGACGAUCAGCCACACUGGGCACUGCGACACGGGCCAGACUCCUACGGGAGGCAGCAGUAAGGAAUAUUGCGCAAUGGGCGAAAGCCUGACGCAGCGACGCCGCGUGGGGGAUGAAGGUCUUCGGAUUGUAAACCCC